CUUCUUCCUUCUUUUCCUUUUUCCUCUUCUUUCUUUUUCUCCUCUCUCCUCUUUCUUCUUCUUAUUCUUCUUCUUCUUCAUCUUUCUCGUCCUCCUCCUCCUCUUCUUCUUCUUCUUCUUCUUCUUCUUCUUCUUCUUUUCCUUCAUCUUUUCCUCCUUCUUCUUCUAAUUCUUUUCUUCUUCUCCUUUUUUCUUUUUCAUUUUUCCCUUCUUUUUUUCUUCUU
rnacentral:lncRNA from 1 species